rnacentral:rRNA from 1 species
CGAACGGUACCUAUCUUCGGAUAGAAGCGAGUGGCGAACGGCUGAGUAACACGUGGAGAACCUGCCCCCUCCCCCGGGAUAGCCGCCCGAAAGGACGGGUAAUACCGGAUACCCCGGGGUGCCGCAUGGCACCCCGGCUAAAGCCCCGACGGGAGGGGAUGGCUCCGCGGCCCAUCAGGUAGACGGCGGGGUGACGGCCCACCGUGCCGACAACGGGUAGCCGGGUUGAGAGACCGACCGGCCAGAUUGGGACUGAGACACGGCCCAG